ensembl:lncRNA
CAGGGCAGAGGAAGGAGAAACAGGGAAUUAAUGCAGGGCAGAGGAAGGAGAAACAGGUAAUUAAUGAAGGUCAGAGGAAGGAGAAACGGAAUUAAUGCAGGGCAGAGGAAGGAGAAACAGGGAAUUAAUGCAGGGCAGAGGAAGGAGAAACAGGGAAUUAAUGCAGGGCAGAGGAAGGAGAAACAGGGAAUUAAUGAAGGUCAGAGGAAGGAGAAACAGGGAAUUAAUGAAGGUCAGAGGAAGGAGAAACAGGGAAUUAAUGCAGGGCAGAGGAAGGAGAAACAGGGAAUUAAUGCAGGGCAGAGGAAGAAGAAACAGGGAAUUAAUGCAGGGCAGAGGAAGGAGAAACAGGGAAUUAAUGCAGGGCAGAGGAAGGAGAAACAGGGAAUUAAUGCAGGGCAGAGGAAG